AAUAAGCGCAAUUGUAUAAAUUAUUAGUGCAUAUAAGUAGUAAUUGGCAUGAUUUGAGGCACCGUCCGUUGUAAUGGAAUUCCAUAAUAAUGGUGUGUGAGCUGGUGAUCAGUCAGUUAGCGGGUCUCUGUACCGGUUAACGCUUUAAACGUAUGACAAGAUUACCUGGUAUAUUGGAAGUAGAUAACUGGAAUAUAUUAGGGUAUUUCGGUGGUUGAAUGAAAGGAAGUGGAAACGUUAACAGAAAGAGAAGAUUAGAGAGGUAUGAUUGAUGGAAACAUAAAAUGGCGCCUUGAUUAUUCGACGGAGGCUUUUGUUUUGCAGAAAUGUCUGUGUAUUCGAAGGCUUAUAUCUGAUCCACGGAGUUAAAUUCUAUAAUAUACUAUAUUAUUAUUGGUUUGAGAAGAAUUCAUUUUAUACAGGAAAAUUUUCUUAUUGAGUCCAACGAGUC